UAGUAACGGCGAGUGAAGAGGAAAGAGCUCAAAGUUGGAAACUGUUUGGCUUAGCUAAACCGUAUUGUAAACUGUAGAAACAUUUUCCUGGCACACCAGAUUAAUAAGUCCUUUGGAACAAGGCAUCAUGGAGGGUGAGAAUCCCGUCUUUGAUCUGAGUAGUUGUCUUUUGUGAUAUGUUUUCAAAGAGUCAGGUUGUUUGGGAAUGCAGCCUAAAUUGGGUGGUAAAUCUCACCUAAAGCUAAAUAUUUGCGAGAGACCGAUAGCGAACAAGUACCGUGAGGGAAAGAUGAAAAGAACUUUGAAAAGAGAGUUAAACAGUAUGUGAAAUUGUUAAAAGGGAACCGUUUGGAGCCAGACUGGUUUGCCUGUAAUCAACCUAGAAUUCGUUUUGGGUGCACUUGCAGGCUAUACCUGCCAACAACAGUUUGAUUUGGAGGAAAAAAUUAAUAGGAAUGUAGCCUCUCGAGGUGUUAUAGCCUAUUAUCAUACUCUGGAUUGGACUGAGGAACGCAGCGAAUGCCUUUAGGCAAGAUUGCUGGGUGCUUUCGCUAAUAAAUGUUAGAAUUUCUGCUUCGGGUGGUGCUAAUGUUUAAAGGAGGAACACAUCUAGUAUAUUUUUUAUUCGCUUAGGUUGUGGCUUAAUGACUUAAAUGA
rnacentral:rRNA from 2 species